rnacentral:lncRNA from 10 species
GUGAGUGACUGGGCUGGGGAGGGGAACGGGUAGAUGGGGUCAGAUCAGCAAGGCCCUCGCCUGCCCAUGCAUCCGACCUUCCCUGCCACGCCCAGAGGAUGUUUGGCAAGGUGGAGGACUGCUCACCUCUGAGUUUGGCGAGGUCCCUCUGGCAGGGGUGGAGAAAGGGUCGCCAGGCGGCUCGUGCAGGGCAGGUGCUCUCCAGGGAAGGUCAUUUGGUCGAACUUGUGCUUGGGAGUUUUUGGUGCACAAGUGAUAACUGGAGCCAUGGAAAUGAGAGGGAGAGGGAGGGGUCAGGUGCAGGGAGAGGGAGGGGUCAGGUGCAGGAACAGAGCCCAAGGAACACCUGCAUUGAAGGGACAGAGGCCCCACAGACAGGAGGAGAAAACCCAGUUCCACCAAGGUCACGAAGCCUAGGAAGCCGGGAUUUCCAUGCGUCAGAAAUGUUGGGAAAUUGCUUAUGAAGUGAUGUAAGUGCAGUGACGGACGUUGAGUCAAACUGACAUCAUGAUGUAAAUGCCAUGGCUGGUUCCAGGCAGGGGCACUCAUCCUUUUUCUCCAGCUUCUAUCGAAUGGAGUAAGUAGUGCAAAAUACGUCACAGGUUGUACUUGGAGACUUUGCCGCGUGCCUUUCCUUUUUGUUUUGUUCUUUUUUUUGUGAGACGGAGUCUCGCUCUGUCGCCCAGGCUGGAGUGCAGUGGCUCGAUCUCGGCUCACUGCAAGCUCCGCCUCCAGGGUUCAAGCCAUUCUCCUGCCACAGCCUCCAGAGUAGCUGGGACUGCAGGCGCCCGCCACCACGGCUGGCUAAUUUUUUGUGUAUUUUUAGUAGAGAUGGG